rnacentral:siRNA from 1 species
UUUGAGAUCAGGAAAAAAUAUA